ACAUAAAAUCAUCUCUGACGGUGUUGAGGAAAGGUGAGCAGGGGACUGGCCACCCUAUAUUAGGGUCAAGCCUGAGACACCUGAAGCCCUGGACUUGGAAUCUGAAGCUGUCAUCAGCCAGUACACCUAUGAACCUGUGGAAGACCUGAAGUACCUGUUUAAAAGACAGCCAAAAGAUAAGUAAAUACUUCCCAAAUUUCCUUGGUGUCUUUGUUGCAUAGUUGCUGUAGGCUGGAUAAUAGUAGCCAUUGUUAUAUUUUUACAAUUAAUUUCUUUCCUCCAAACAGAUAGAAUCACUUCCUUUCUAAUAAUUAAGCAAAGUAAAAUGUUGUAAUCCAUUUUUGUAACAAUCAUUCCUGACAGGAUAGGUAUCCAUCACCACCCCUACCCCAAAGUUCCCAUUCUAUAGAACAAAAUAACAAAUAUGUAUUUUUUGUGUUCCAUAAUAGUCACCCAUAGCCUGUGUAUACUGGGACCAGGCAUAUGGGAAUCAACUUUAUUUUACAACAGCUUCUCUUUAGCUCUCCAUCAGUUAAUGGAUUCUGGGUAUUUAUUAAGAACUUUACAUUUAAUGGAAAGAAUGUUAAAUACCACCAGCCCCACUCUGGCAGAGGACUGUUGGCUUUGUUUAUCUCCAUCAUCAUCCCAAUACUUUGCCAUCUCAAUCCCAGCCCAAUCUUGGGCCUUUGAGAAAAUAACCUAUCAUUCCUAACUAUAAGGGUGGAACUCCCUUCAAAUUAAUGAGCCUGGAUGACUUAUAUGACUUCAAAAUUAUGUAAAUGACAAGGGUUAGAAUGACAGUAUGAGUAGUAAACCUCCUCCAGUCCCAUCAGAACAAACUUUCUGGGGUUACGUCCCAUUAGAAACCCAUUUGGUGGCCAAUAUCAAUGUACACAGAACUAAAAUUCCAGGUGCCACUUUAUAUUAAGAGAAGCCACAAUUUUUGUCAGGCCCUGGAAACCUUGAAAAGUCAUCGACACAACUGCACCCUGGAAAUUAAUCCCUCACAUAAUCAUGUAAGCUAUGCAGUUACCCAAUCAGCAUUAUUUAGAAAACCUGUAUGGUUUUCAUGGAAAUCAUUCUGAGUUAAGGACACUUUAAAGGAUAUACAGUCUAAGUACUGUCAAGGUAGGCCCACUAGCUGUGUUCACAUUUUCCAUUGGGAAGACUGUACUGAUCCUCAGAUAUCUGGUUGCCUUUUGAUUUGCCGGUAUGAAAAUAGCUUUGGGUGAUUGUUGGAGGACACUAAGUGUAACUAACUCCAUUCGGAAAACAGAACUGCUGGGGCAACUCGGGAUACUUCCCAAGGUCCUUUCCAGCCUUUAACUGGGGCCAUCUUAGCAGGGACCUUAACUACUUGGAAAAACAAAAAUGGCAAGCUAACCCACAUGUUCAUCAUAGAAAACAAUUUUUGUCUUGAACAACAAGGAGCUUUUUUUCCUGCGUGGAACUGGUUCCUACUUAUGUUUACCAGCCAACUGGACUGGAACCUGUACACUUGUUUAUUUAGCCCUGGCAAUUAAUAUAGCUCCCAAUAACCAAUUCCUCAUUUUACCUUUGACUGCAACUGCCAGGCACAGAUUAACCAGUCAACUCAUACCCUUUUGGUAGGGCUAGGCGUAACAGCUGGAAUAGGAACAGAGGUUAGCGGGCUUGCAACUUCCCUAUCCUAUUAUCAAUGCUUGUCCAAGGAUUUUAUGAAAAGCUUGGAUGGCAUUGCCUAAAGUAUCGUCACCUUACAAAAUCAGAUAGACUUCUUGGCAGCAGUCACUUUAUAAAAUAGGAGGGGACUGGAUCUCCCUAAUGCUAAAAAAGGUGGCUUAUGUCUUUUUCCUAGAAGAAGAAUGCUGCUUUUAUGUCAACCAAUCAGGAUUUGUAAGGAAUGCUACCCAGAAAAAUUAGCUGACUGGGCCUCUGAUAUAUGACAACAGCUGUCCAAGUCAUGGCACUCCUGAUCAAAAAUGCUAAGUUUGGGGUUCAUGACUCCUUCCUCUAGCUGGCCCUUCAUUAAUGAUGAUACUUCCCUUGGUUUUCGGAUGUUGUUUGUUAAAUCUCUUAACCAAAUUCAUUUCCUCUUGCCUGGAGACCAUCAAGCUGCAGAUAAUGAUGCAGCAAGGCUUCCAGGUAAAGACACCACCCCUGGACAUCAAGAAGCUAGCCUCUCUCCACUAGACAGAGCAGGGCAGGAUUUCUGUGAUCCCCAAUAGGUAGGGACUGCACCCAAUUCAGGAUGAAGCAGUUACAGAAGAAAGACCGUCAGUCUCUCUGCCUGCCGUGAAGACUUUAUGGGGAUCACAUCUCUCAUGGGGGAGAAAUGAGGCAGGAAAAUAGGUACUGGGGGCAGGGAACCUAAGGCCAAUUCACAUUGACUUCCUAGAACUAAAUCAAAAGGAAAAACCCAACUUUCCACAUAACAAAAGAAUAGAAGCUACUCCCUUUGCAAUCCCCACCCCCUUUCUGCAUGGCAGAUGAGAAAUGGAAAGUACCUCUGAUGGCUUCCCUCUCACAACCAAUCAGAGUGGACACGAGCCUAGUUUUCAUUUGCAUAGGGGUGUAACUUUGUAACUUUACUUCAGCCUCUGAUUGGUCCCCUCCCACAACCAGUCAGAUGUUUGCGUAGGGUAUAACUUUCUAAGUUCACUUCAGCCUCCGAUUGGUCACCUUCUGAAACCAAUCAGACUGGUCACAGGCCACUCCUUCAUUUACAUAGAAUGUAAACCAAGUAACCAAUGGGACACCUCUAGAAGGUAUUUAAACCCCAGAAAAUUUUGUAACCUGUGAUCUUGAGCCACUUGGUCGAGACUGCUCCCACUUUGUGGAAUGUACUUUCAUUUCAAUAAAUCUGUGGUUUUGUUGCUUCA